GAAUGCAUUCUGCCGCGUUUCAGUAAGCCCAGUGCAAUCAGCGCUGACAAUGAAUAUCAAGCAGGUCUCUUGCAGCAGACUGUGCAGGUAUCAGACUGGGCACUGUAUCUGGGUGCCCAGUAUAACGCACACAGCCAUAUGCCAGGAACUGGAAAGGGGAGACAACAGGUGAAGAGCCUUCCAGACCUCCUUCAGUCUUCUUAGCAGAACGCUCACUGCUAACCACUGGCCCAGAAAGAAAAUGCCCAUUUCCGUCUGUUUCAUGCUUGCCCCCUUGCUGAAGCCAGAAAAGAAUGGGAUGUAGCUUUAUUCCCAUCCAGCCUAUCUAGGAAGUGAACAGAAGGAUCAGACAGAGCAGAACAGGGGGUUUGAAAGAAUCAUCUCCCAGACACAAAGGCUGCUGUUAGGACUGGACACUGUCUGCCUUGUCACCAUCUACCUGUGUAAUCACCAGGCACAACGAAGUCUAUUCAUGAAAGACCUCACUCAGGGCUCCUUUGGCACGCUUAACACUUCCGCAGACUUACAAGGAUCUUCGGAGUGUUCAAAGAAUAAAAGACUGGACACUA